UCAAGCGCGAGAAGGGCGUUUGGUGGAUGCCUUGGCAGUAAGAGGCGAUGAAAGACGUGAUACUCUGCGAUAAGCCAUGGGGAGCUGAGAAUAAGCUUUGAUCCAUGGAUUUCUGAAUGGGGGAACCCACUUGAUAUUCUGUUAUUGUUAUCUUCGGAUAAUCAAUAAUGGGGUAAAACAAGUAUUAAUUACCUGAAUAUAUAGGGUUUUUAAAGCAAACCCGGGGAACUGAAACAUCUAAGUACCCGGAGGAAAGGAAAUCAACAGAUACUCCCUUAGUAGCGGCGAGCGAACGGGGAUCAGCCGAGCAAUGAAUGUGACUAGAACCAUCUGGAAAGUUGGGCAAUAUGGGUGACAGCCCCGUAUAGGAAGCAUGAUUUGACGUAUUAAGUAGGGCGGGACACGUGAAAUCCUGUCUGAACAUGGGGGGACCACCCUCUAAGGCUAAGUACUCCUUACUGACCGAUAGCGCACUAGUACCGUGAGGGAAAGGUGAAAAGCACCCCGACGAGGGGAGUGAAACAGUUUCUGAAACCGGACGCCUACAAACAGUCGGAGGGGCAUAUGCCCUGACGGCGUACCUUUUGUAUAAUGGGUCAACGACUUGGUCUUACUAGCAAGCUUAAGCCGAUAGGUGUAGGCGCAGCGAAAGCGAGUCUUAAUAGGGCGAAUGAGUUAGUGGGAUCAGACCCGAAACCGAGUGAUCUAGGCAUGAGCAGGUUGAAGGUAAGGUAACACUUACUGGAGGACCGAACCCACAUCUGUUGAAAAAGAUCGGGAUGAGCUGUGCCUAGGGGUGAAAGGCCAAUCAAACUCGGAGAUAGCUGGUUCUCUGCGAAAUCUAUUUAGGUAGAGCGUCGACCGAAUACCCUCGGGGGUAGAGCACUGGAUGGGUAAUGGGGCCCCACAGGCUUACUGAUCCUAACCAAACUCCGAAUACCGAGGAGUACUAGUCGGCAGACACACGGCGAAUGCUAACGUCCGUCGUGAAGAGGGAAACAACCCUGACCUACAGCUAAGGCCCCUAAUUCAUGGCUAAGUGGGAAAGCAGGUGGGACGACCAAAACAACCAGGAGGUUGGCUUAGAAGCAGCCAUCCUUUAAAGAUAGCGUAACAGCUCACUGGUCUAAAUAAGUUGUCCUGCGGCGAAGAUGUAACGGGGCUCAAGCCAUGAGCCGAAGCUUAGGAUGCAUUUAUUGCAUGGUAGCAGAGCGUAGUGUGACAUAGUUCCAUGUGUCCUUACCCACUUCGGUGGGAUUGGACACAAGGAGCUUUCUGUGAAGCCGGCGCGUGAGCGAUCCGGUGGAGAGAUCACUAGUGAGAAUGAUGACAUGAGUAGCGACAAAGAGUGUGAGAGACACUCUCGCCGAAAAUCCAAGGGUUCCUGCUUAAAGCUAAUCUGAGCAGGGUAAGCCGACCCCUAAGGCGAGGCCGAAAGGCGUAGUCGAUGGGAACCAGGUUAAUAUUCCUGGGCCAGAUGGAAGUGACGGAUCUCGAGGGUAGUUCAUCCUUAUCGGAUUGAAUGGGCUGCUUAGAGGUCCCUGGAAAUAGCUCCAUCGCUAGAUCGUACCCUAAACCGACACAGGUGGAUAGGUAGAGAAUACCAAGGCGCUUGAGAGAACUAUGUUGAAGGAACUCGGCAAAAUACCUCCGUAAGUUCGCGAGAAGGAGGCCCGGUUUCUAGGCAACUAGAGGCUGGGGGCACAAACCAGGGGGUGGCGACUGUUUAUUAAAAACACAGGGCUCUGCGAAGUCGCAAGACGACGUAUAGGGUCUGACGCCUGCCCGGUGCCUGAAGGUUAAAAGGAGAGGUGAGAGCCUUGAAUUGAAGCCCAGGUAAACGGCGGCCGUAACUAUAACGGUCCUAAGGUAGCGAAAUUCCUUGUCGGG
rnacentral:rRNA from 1 species